rnacentral:rRNA from 1 species
CCUACGGGAGGCAGCAGUGAGGAAUAUUGGUCAAUGGGCGCGAGCCUGAACCAGCCAAGUCGCGUGAGGGAGGACGGCCCUACGGGUUGUAAACCUCUUUUGCCGGGGAGCAACGGGCGUCACGUGUGGCGCCACUUAGAGUACCCGGAGAAAAAGCAACGGCUAACUCCGUGCCAGCAGCCGCGGUAAUCGGGAGGAUCCGAGGUUUUUCGGGUUUUAUUGGGUUUAAGGGGUGCGUUGGCGGGUCGUUUAGUUGGUGGGAAAAUGGAGGGGCCAAACCCCUUCCCGCCAUUGAAACUGGAGCUCUUGAGUGGAAGAGAAGUAGGCGGAAUGCGUGGUGUAGCGGUGAAAUGCAUAGAUAUCACGCAGAACCCCGAUUGCGAAGGCAGCAUGCCGGCUUCCGACUGACGCUGAGGCACGAAAGCGUGGGGAUCGAACAGGAUUAGAUACCCUAGUAGUC